CAGCCACAAGCAGAUACAACAAAAAAUUGGAACUUCAAAUGGAGAUAACCAAAACUUGAACAACAACAAAUCAAAACUUCAAUAGGAAUAAAAUCAGAACUUGAACAGAAAAAUAUCGGAACUUGAACAACAAAAAUGGGUAAUUUAAGUAGAAAAAACGCAAUUGAUGUUGGUUUAAGGAGAAAAGUGACAGCCUCCUUAUGUUAGUCACGCAACUAUGGACAAAAAGUAAACAAUGAAACUUCACCAGCCAAACAAUUAUAGGGUUAAUGACCUAGAAAGGUAACAAAAUUGAUAGAGAGAAGUAAGGGACAAAAAGAGCUAUAUUAUUAUUCAAUCAGAAUAGCCUUCAUAGAUACCCAUGUGAACUACUUCACCUAAAGAACCGAUCUAAUCUAUUCCGAUCAAACUAAAUACUUCAUUAUUUUCUAAACCAUAAAACAUAAAACAAUAAAAAGCUUAUUAAAUUCAAGUUUCAGGCAGCCAUGCACAAACCAAUUAACCUAACAAUUGAGAAGAGGGAGAACCAUACUUGAUUCAAAAGCAGCAAAAUCAUAAAUCAGUAGGGGUGUAUAGGCGCAAAUCGAUGAUCGAUGGGGGGCACAGCUUUGUCGAUCGCUUGAAAGAGAGAAAAGCGGGAUGGAGGCACUGAAACUUUAGAACAUAUUAGGGCAAGGACUCUUUUGGAAAUUGUCUCUCCCUUUCUCAGUCAGCAGAUAUUCUCAUAAUCUUUUUCAAUCAGCAUCAGACAUCCCAUAUGUAUUUGAUGUGUGUGAAACAAACUAGUUUUAAUCCUACUAACUUAAAUACAAAGACAAACACACGAAAGACAGUGUACCUAUCGAUUAGCAGUGUAGUUCAAGCAAGUAGGGUAUCGAACACAGGGAACGGUAAACAAUUAAAAUAAAUGCUAAUAUUAUCUAAAUAAAAUGUGACAACCCGAAAUUUCCAUUUUGUACGAACAUUAUCUAUUCAAUAGGAGCUAGUCCAGUUUCAAUGAAUUUCAGGCUUGUCCGAAUAAGUUUGUGUACAUUAGGGCUUACAUUUAAGGAGAUAUCAGGAGAGCGGAUGCUCAUGGGUUUGUGAAACUUGAGCAUUUCAACACUUCAUAAUGUUAAAGUCCAAUUCCAGAAUAAAAUAUUUUCUGCCAAAAUAUUUCAGGACUAUAAAUAGAUUUCUGAACUAAAUUCAUUCAUUAUUCACAUUUCCAACUAGAGAAAAGCCAUAUUCUCUCUCAAGGAUCUUCGGGUUUUCAUCCCAAAUCAUGAGUACACUUCUCUAGUUGUGUUAUAAUGUUUGUUUUAUGCUUAUUAACAUAGAUUACAUGUCUAAUAUAUGAGAUCCGGGAGUUUACCGCCCAAGAACGUUCUUAGGGAGUAAACUCCAAAAUGGAGCUUUAAGGCUAUCUAGUCCCAAUUCCUUGUUAGGCAACUAGUUUAGCAUAAUAUGUAGGAUCAUUUAAGGCUAUCUUAGGGAGUAAACUCCAAAAUGGAGCUUUAAGGCUAUCUAGUCCCAAUUCCUUGUUAGGCAACUAGUUUAGCAUAAUAUGUAGGAUCAUUUAAGGCUAUAAAUCAAUCAAGAACACCAAGUUUUAGGAGUUUACGGCCCAAGAAUUUCUUGGACCGUAAACACCAUUUUCAAGGGCAUAAUGAGCCCUAAUCACCCCCUAAGGCUUUAGACUUUAACCCUCAAAUACUUGUAGCUAAAAUGGGGACUAAAACACAUCAAAAUCAUCCCUAAAAGGGAGUUUACGGCCAAGAAAUGCUCUUGGGCCGUAAACUCCAAGUAAAGGCACCAAAGUGUGCCUAAAGUCCCCCUUAGCCUAAAUCAAAAGCCUAGAAAUUAUCCUACUUGUGCAAGAGACUUAAAAGAAUUAAAACAUCCACCCCAUGAGAGUUUACGGCCGUAAACUCUAAGGGGUAUGGUCUUUAGGCCGUAAACUCCUCAAAGGAGUGUUAUCUAUGCCCUAAACUACCCAAAGGAUUAAACCACCAAGCUAGGCUUAUUCUAGAAUUCAUUUAGCACCUUAAAACACCCAAAACCACCAAGAGUGGAGUUCACGGCCGUAAACUCAAGGGUUUACGACCGUAAACUCCUUGUGUGGGGUUUGUUGGGUAGUAAACUCAUAUACAAGGUCAUUUGGUACAUUAAACCCCUUUAGCCUUGUCCCGUAGCAACUUAGAUGCAACCAUUAGGACCUAUAACACUUAUACCAAGUGUUUACAUGUUCCUGAGUGUCCCAACUUAUUUCAUUAAGUUAUUAUUUGGCUAAUUAGUUAUAUAUAUGCUCAUUAUAUGAUAACUAGGCUCGUGCGUGUGAACAAGUCUCCGUUUGCCACCUAGCACGGUAUCCGACACUACAAUCCAAACCACUCACCACAAGUGAGUUCAUACCCCUUUAAUUAACCUUUGAAAUGCUUUUAAAUGUUUUAAAUACUUUAUGGGGGGAUACAAGUUCAAUGCUUAUAGUUAUUGAAAUCAAUCACAUGUGAUUGCAUUAAUCACAUGUGAUUAAUAACUAGAAAACCAAUGAUUUUAUCACUGUUCAAACUGUUUAUCAAACUGCUUUACUUCAAAAUGUUUUACAAACUCUUUUACUUAUCAAAUACUUUUAUUUAAACCUUGUUAUACUUCUUAUAAAUUGCAUGCCCAUAUAUGUAUAGAUAUAUAAGCAAUGUUUAAAGGGCUUAGGAAGGCCAUCCGCCCUAUUUCCUUUUUCUCGAUUUGGAUGUGGUCUGGUGGGAUUUCGGGUGACCAUCCGAAGGUCGUUUCAAUAUUAAUUAUAUAUCAAAUAUACAUAUAUAGACAUAAAAGUACUUCCAUAUUCAUGCGUACUAUACACAUCACUAGUAAGUUACCAUCGGGGUAACACAGGAUCAUACUACUACAACUGUUAGAUCAAUGAGUCAGUUCAUUCAUGAGUCUAUACAUUACAUUACUACGAGAACAUAUACAACUAUACUAGAAAGAGAACAUAUACAACUAUACUAGGAGGAGAACAUAUACAACUAUACUAGAACGAGAAACAUUACACUACAUAUACAUGAAUACGUUAACAAUUGUGAUCCACUGGAUCGGAGCAUGCCUUAAAUGUCAUGGCCCGAGUUGUAGCCAGAAUUCUCUUGGAGGGAGAGCGUGAGUUUGCGUAUAGAUCUAUACUGGAUUGACUAUCCUACACCUUGCUGCUAGCUACAGCCGGACCUGCAGGUCUGCGGGUGCCAAACGUCAUUCCGUUAUUACGACCAUUCGUAUGUCGUUGUUACCAGUCGAUAGUAUGGUGCAAUUAUCACAUUAUACCUUAAUAUAAAUCCGGUUUAAGGUAGUUAGUACAGCAGUAGUUCCUAUAAUACAAAACUACAGUACUACAAUGAUUUACCCAUUACAUAUUUUUAGUGAUAACCUCACUUAAACAUUAAUGUACAAACUAUAUUUGUUAAAUGAUAGUUACACUUGGGAAAUUACACACUUUUACAACAAACGAGCAUACAAAACAGUUAAGCCUUGGUAGAAGGCUACUUUAAUAGAAAAUAUAGGUUUUUCUGAGAGAUUCAAACUUUUACAAACACUUACAUACAUUUUACAAACUUAUACUUAAGACACAUUCAAACGUUUUGAUAACAAACAUCGACACUAACAUACUUAUGAACUCACCAGCUUAAUGCUGAUAAACUCUUUCAAAAUAACUUGUAUUCUCAGGUCAUCAGUAGACGGGUACCGAUGCCAGCUUUUGAGAAGAUGGAGCGCAUUCAAGACUCAUCAUAUUAUUAUGAUUUACAUUAUAUUUUUUUGGUGUCUAAAACUGUACAGAACACACUUGUAUUAAAAUUAUAUAUUUAAUGCAAUGGAUGAUGUUGUUUGCUUAUUUACAUUUACUGUGUUGUGAUACUGUACAUGAGGUCCUCCGCCCCAGAACGUUUCCGCCGUUCUUGGUUUUGGGGUGUGACAUAAAACAAGUAAUAAAAGAUGGGGGUUUCUCUAGUUUUGCAAGACUAGAAACUUAAAUAAUCAUUUUAACACUCAAACAAAGACAAUUAACAACUAAGAAGAACAAGAAAGGACAACUAGAUUUAAUGAUAAAAGAGACUUCUGUUCAAAUUCGAUUCACUUAUUCCUAUGGUUGAUUUCUUGGGAAGUGCAAUGGAUCAAUAUGUCAAUGAUUACCAAUUCCUAAUGUGAUUGGGUUCAUGUUCAUUAUUACCAAUCCUUUAGUAGACAAGUUAAUUCAAACAAUGGCCAGAUGAUUAAAAUAACAAGUUUCCUAGUGUUUAGUUUGUAUCAAGUAAGACUUGUAAGAAUAGCUAAUCAAAUUUGCUCAAUUCAAUCAACUCAUAUAUGUUUGUUUAUCAUACAUGCUCACACAUUGAUUUACAUAUUUCCUAGUUAACCCUAGUUUCGUAUUCAUUAUUCCUAGGCAUACAAUCUUGUGUUCACAAAACUAUAUGAUUCAAGUAAUCAAGAAGAUGUUCAUGCAACUCAAUAACUUUACUCAUUAACAGAAAAUAUUUAUCAUCAAUACAUGAGGAUCUUUAACAAGCUUAACAUGAUGAAUAACCAAGUUAAUAUUAAUCCAACCACUCAAUCAAACCAUGUUCAUAAGAUCAUCUCAUCCAAACAGAAGUAAAAAGCUUUUAGCUCAUAUCUAAAGCAAGUAAUAACCUAAAAUCAAAAUCUAAUGAUUCAAACAUGGUUCAAAACAAAGAUUAAGAAAAGAAGAAUGAUUAUUUGCCUUUGAUUUUCUUCUAAAUUGUUUCUUAUGUUGAAUUCUCGAAAUCUGAAGCUUCAAGAACCCCUCUAGUCUUCAAUAAUCGCAGCUAGCCUCCAGCAAAAGUUGGGGUUCGAAUGAGAAGUGUUUCUAUAUAUAAAUUCUGAAAACAGGGCCAAAUCAAGGAGUUUUCACCACAAACUCGUCGAGUUUUUUUGAUAAUCCGCGUAUACAGCGUGUACGGCAAGGCAUCUUCGAAUCGGGGACGUUUUGACCAACUCGUCGAGUUUAGGCCCAACUCGUCGAGUUCUCUUAGAAUCAACAUUUUCUCAAAACACGAAAGUCGUCCAAAAUUGUUUCUAGUUUUCAGUACAUUUUGAAUCUCGUCAAUCGGAGUUACGGUUCAUGAGAUAUGGCUAAAACACUGACGAGGGGUCAAGCUGUCCAGUAUUAUUAUUCUUUCUUCAAAAUCCAAGAUCCAAGCUUCCAAUAGCCAAUUCCGCUUCCUUUUUCUUCCGAGCAUGUCUUUAUUGCUGAAAAUGAAAUAUUUAAGCUAAUUAAGCACCUUUUUUUCAUUAAAUGAGAUAAAAUCAACAUAAAGUAUUAAGAUAAUGCAUGAAUUUUAUAACUAAAUAUGCCCCUAUCAAAAUACCCGAACUUGGCUUUUGCUUGCCCCCAAGCAAAGCUGAAUUUUAACAUGCUAAUACCACAUAAGACAACCCCAACCGACCCCAGCCAUUAUGCCAAGACCGCAACGCAUGCAUUUGUGUCUAAAUUUUUUCCUAAGGACCCCCUCAAUUCUAAAUACUUACAAUCCUCAUAAACACUCGCCCAUUUCUUUUGAACAACGCUCAUUUUAUGCAUCCCUCCGAAUCCAUCCCCAUAAAACUUUCUUAACCUCAAGUCAUUUUUGGUUAAAUCCCCAAGCACACAUAUGAAAAAAUAACCUAGAAAAGAAAAUUACAAUAAAAAUAAAUACUUUAUAACUUUUUGCCUUGAAUCUUUAGCAGCUUUGUAGCUUUUCUUCAUGAUAUUCUUCUUUGUCUUCAUAGCUUUGUAGAUUCUUUAUUCAAACAUUUCAUCACUCUUUUUUUUCAACUUUUUUUUUUCUCUUUUUUUUUCUUUUUUUUUUCUUUUUUUUUCAACACACUUUUUCCAUUCAAAACUAAAAACCUAGAAAAACAUAUGCUUAAGCAAUGGAAUUUAACAUAUGCUUAAGCUUUCCUGGAUACAUUUCUGGUACACGAUGCUAAACAUAUUGCGAUCCUCAAACUAAGCGAGGUUGUGUUUUUGUCCCAUGAAUUCACUAGAAUAAAGGGGGCCACAAAUGCACUAUAACGUAUAUAGGCUCCACUAAACAUUUGGGUCUUCAUAGAAUCAUCAAACACAAUAAUAGCAUGGAACCCUAAUUGCUUUUACCAUAAUUUUCUAAAUUAACCCUAGUACUUUUUUAUGCAAUUUUUUUUUCAAACCAAGCAAGGAUUCUAAUUUUGACUAAAUGUAAUCAACCCCCUACCACACACUUAAGUUAUGCAAUGUCCCCAUUGCAUGUUAAAACAAUUAAAGAACACAAAAGUAAAGAGAGAAUUGGAACAAACUCCCCUGGAAUAGUAGUUGCGAGGUUGAUAUUCUUCAAAUUACGCUCCAUCUUCAGCUGACUUUAGACAUAGGAACAGCUCAUCCAUGCCUUGGGUGUCAAAUCUCGUGUGGUUGACAACUCUAAAUAUGUGGGAAAAAGCAUCUUGGAAUCGCCUAGAAAUGGUCUUAAAAAAUAUAGCCAAUUGCCGCCUUGAAUUGAAUCAUAUCGUCGACUCAAAGAUAAAAGAAUGAGCAACUCGUCGAGUUUUACGUGGAGACUCGCCGAGUUGAAUCGUCAUAUGGGCAGAAGUCGUGAAUUUUCGCUGGAACUCGUUGAGUUAUAAGGGUGCACUCGACGAGUUUUCGACUCUGAUCGUGCAAAUUCUUCUUUCUGCUUCAGGUCUGUUUUUGAGGUCAAAGAGGGUAUUAAGGUAAUACACCUCCUUAUAUUCUUUAGUGACGAGACUCCUUUUUAACCGUUAAAACCAUCGGACUUAUAAAAUCACUCAAAUCUUCUAAUCUUCUCGUCUAUGACUCGACCCCUCACUUUAUUUCCCUCACGCUUUAUUCGUUCAUUCUAUCCCUCACCCUAUAUUCUGAAAAGAUCAAAAAAAAUACCAAGUAAUAAAAAAAGACAUCAAAAUAAAAAUCCUAAUUAUCCCUAAAUACUAGAAGUUUAGAAAGAAAAAGAAAAGCAAACUCUAAUGACGGGUUGCCUCCCGCAAGCAGUUCUUUUUGUGCGAGUCUUUAGUUGGACUCCCAACUUAAUAAACUUCUAAUAAACUCAAUGUCAAUCCAUCUGUUGCAUUGAAUAUCUUCUUUGGUGGACCAAUUUGUAAAAUUUGGCUCUUUGCUUCUAAAAUUGGCCAAACGAGCUUGAAUAUAUAAAACCCAAGAAUCUUGAUAAGGGUUAGGACCGGUUGGAUACUAAUCAGAAAUGGAUCGUGCUUCAAAACUUUCUCCAAAGUUGGAGUUGUCACCCCAUGCUUCGAAACACAAUCUGGGAAAAUAAGGGGCUACGUCGUGAUAAUGGUCAAACCACGGCUUGGUUCCUGCAACUCACCUUUUUCGUGUUCUUCAUCUGACCCUUCUGCUAGCAACCUUUCCAGCUCCUCCAAAUCUUUUUAUGGAUUAAAUUCUUCAUCUUGUAACUUUAGCUCUUGUGACUCAGAUUGUUCUUGUUCGUUAGACAAGAUGUUAUCUAACCAUCUUCCAAAUUCCAUCAAAUCUUCAUCUGAGUCAUACUCCUCAUCUUGUUGCUCAAUUUCCUGUACUACUUCCUCAAGAGAAGCAUCAAGAGCAUCGAGAUUUGGAAAAUACAUAAUAAAUUUAAAAUUAAACAAAAUAAAAAAAAUUAAUCAACAAAUAAAAAAAAUGAUAACAAUUAGCAAAUAAAAUUAACUAUUUAGAAUCGUUCCCCGGCAACGGCGCCAAAAACUUGAUGUGUGUGAAACAAACUAGUUUUAAUCCUACUAACUUAAAUACAAAGACAAACACACGAAAGGCAGUGUACCUAUCGAUUAGCAGUAUAGUUCAAGCAAGUAGGGUAUCGAACACAUGGAACGGUAAACAAUUAAAAUAAAUGCUAAUAUUAUCUAAAUAAAACAAGUAAUAAAAGAGGGGGGUUUCUCUAGUUUUGCAAGACUAGAAACUUAAAUAAUCAAUUUAACACUCAAACAAAGACAAUUAACAACUAAGAAGAACAAGAAAGGACAACUAGAUUCAAUGAUAAAAGAGACUUCUGUUCAAAUUCGAUUCACUUAUUCCUAUGGUUGAUUUCGUGGCAAGUGCAAUGGAUCAAUAUGUCAAUAAUUACCGAUUCCUAAGGUGAUUGGGUUCAUGUUCAUUAUUACCAAUCCUUUAGUAGACAAGUUAAUUCAAACAAUGGUCAGUUGAUUAAAAUAACAAGUUCCUAGUGUUUAGUUUGUAUCAAGUAAGACUUGUAAGAAUAGCUAAUCAAAUUUGUUCAAUUCAAUCAACUCAUAUAUGGUUGUUCAUCAUACAUGCUCACACAUUGAUUUACAUAUUUCCUAGUUAACCCUAGUUUCGGAUUCAUUAUUCCUAGGCAUACAAUCUUGUGUCAACAAAACUAUAUGAUUCAAGUAAUCAAGAAGAUGUUCAUGCAACUCAAUAACUUUACUCAUUAACAGAAAAUAUUUAUCAUCAAUACAUGAGGAUCUUUAACAAGCUUAAGAAGAUGAAUAACCAAAUUAAUUUUAAUCCAACCAUUCAAUCAAACCAUGUUCAUAAGAUCAUCUCAUCUAAACAGAAGUAAAAAGCUUUUAGCUCAUAUCUAAAGCAAGUAAUAACCUAAAAUAAAAAUCUAAUGAUUCGAACAUGGUUCAAAACGAAGAUUAAGAAAAGAAGAAUGAUUAUUUGCCUUUGAUUCUCUUCUAAAUUGUUUCUUAUGUUAAAUUCUCAAAAUCUGAAGCUUCAAGAACCCUUCUGGUCUUCAAUAAUCGCAGCUAGCCUCCAGCAAAAGUUAGGGUUCGAAUGAGAAGUGUUUCUAUAUAUAAAUUCUGAAAACAGGGCCAACUCGACGAGUUUUCACCACAAACUCGUCGAGUUUUUUUGAUAAUCCGCGUAUACAGCGUGUACGGCAAGGCAUCUUCGAAUUGGGAACGUUCUGAACAACUCAUCGAGUUCUCUUGGAAUCAACAUUUUCUCAAAACAUGAAAGCCGUCCGAAAUUGUGUCUAGUUUUCUGAACAUUUUGAAUCUCGUCAAUCGGAAUUACGGUUCAUGAGAUAUGGCCAAAACACCGACGAGGGGUCAAGCUGUCCAAUAUUAAUAUUCUUUCUUCAAAAUCCAAGAUCGAAGCUUCCAAUAGUCAGUUCUGCUUCCUUUUUCCUUCCGAGCAUGUCUUUAUUGCUGAAAAUGAAAUAUUUAAGCUAAUUAAGCACCUUUUGUUCAUUAAAUGAGAUAAAAUCAACAUAAAGUAUUAAGAUAAUGCAUGAAUUUUAUAACUAAAUAUGCCCAUAUCAGUGUUUAUCAAACAAGUUCAGCUGACCGAGUCAGCCAAAAACGUCUGACUCGACUCGGUCAGACGUAUAUCAAACAGCAAGUUCAAUUCACGUUGUUCGUUGUCUCUCUCUACUGCAGAAUGCAGUCCACCUCUCUUUCAUCUCUCUAUCUCAUUCUCGACCUCCAACCACUUCUAAAUCAGGUACGUUCAAACUUUAACCUAAUUCUUUUUUGAUAAUUUUGAAAUCCCUGUCUUACUUUUCAUUUUUGUGAUACGUAUUAUAGUUGAUUAAGUAAUUGUAAUUAAUUGGUUAUUUGUGAAAUGUAGUUAGGUUUUAGUCUAACUUUUGUAAGGUAAUUUUAAAAUCCCUUAUUUUUAUUAUUUAACGUUUUAUGAUUGUUUGUAAAUAUCAUGUGAUUGCAAAUGCUCACAUAUGGGUAAUAUUGUUUUUUUGUACUCAUUUACCCAUUUAACUUUUUCAUCCGUUCAAAAAUAACCAACAUUACCGGCUAUUACCUGUUUUAGCCGGUAACAUUGAUUUAGUUGGGUUGAAAACAUUACGUGGAAUCUUAUGUGGCCAUUACACUCCUUUCUCAUUUAAUUAGGGUUCGUCAUCGUCAGCUAACACACCAUAGGUAUGGAAUGGAAAAACCCCAUGAAUGACCACAAAGGAAAGCACAUCAAAUCUUAGAUCUUUGUUGUGUUUUUUCUUAAUUUGUGAAUUAAUUUGACGUUAUUCCGUAGGUUUUAAAUUUGUAGAGGGUAGCUUGGUCAUUAUUGCAAAAUAGAAGAAUUUGGGUUUGUAUGAAUUCAGGAUUAUGUUGAAUUGUUGGAGUUUCCUUAGUGAUGUUAAAAAUCGAUUUUUUGAAAGUUCAAAUGAGGUUGAAAAUGUUCUAGAAUUAGAUUGAUAAGUGUAUUUUGGUCAAAAUUAAGGAAAACGGGAUAAAAGAAAUAAAAGUUUGAAAGGUUGUGUUAUCUUUUUUAGAGUUAAUAAAAUUGACUAUGGUUUUAGAAAAGACAAAUCAAUUAUGGUUGAAAGUUUUGUCAGUUUUGUGAUUGUUGGCCUUUUUGCUUUGUGACUAAUUUCGAGAUGUAUUUGGUUGGUUAUUACUUUAAAUUUUGAAGCGUUAAAUGUGGUAUUUAAAUGUUAAAAUGAUUAACAAAUAACAAACACAAAAUUGUCCGUGAAUUACUAACAUGAUGAAGUUAAACUUCCGUACUGUUUUACAAAAUUAAUUACUUACUAUCCAUGUCAAUUUAAUUACAUCGAUCAAGCAACUUUUUUGAAUUGAAAUAUUGAUGAGAUUGACUUUUUUAGUCAACUUUCGUUGUCUAAGAAUUUUUUUUAAAUAUAAUAUUUAUUUGUAGCCUUUUGUCUUUGUAAAGAAUGAAGACAAAAAAUUUAAGACUUCAACAACUACUAAAUUAGUUCUAACUAUGAUCAAGUUCCUUGUCGUUAAGAGUCGGAGAUCAAUAUAUUUCAAGCUUUUAAGACAUAGACUCUAGUUUCUAAAAAAAUUAUUCGCACCUGUCGCUUAGCUCGGGUAAACGGCUAGUGUGUGUGUGUGUGUCUAUAUAUAUAUANNNNNNNNNNNNNNCACAAAAUUAAAACCUUGUAAUACACGGUUUAAGAGUUACAAAUAGCAUAAAUAAUAUAGAAUAAGUGAUUUCCUAUAUAGGUUCUGAUGGUGUGCCUAGGGCAAUACAGCAGAGCCGCGUCCAAGCCUUAGAGCCGGGCAUAACAGCCAGGCUCAACGCCCGCUGGCGCCCCCAGGAGCGGAACGCCCAGGCGGAAGGCUCGCGCCCGCCAAGUGACGCUCCUUGCUCUAAGACAAAAUGUAUGGUCAGGAGACAAACAAUGGGAUCAGAGCAUUACCAUCAGAGCCAAUGAGAGCGCUCUAGCGGUUAAGGGCGCACGACCCUCCAAUCAGCGCCUCUGAUCCUGUCUCCCCAAAAAGCGAUCCUGUCUGGUACGGACCAGGCAGGAGCGCUAGGUAUAAAAUGAUGCAUUCUCAGAUUAGCGAGGUAAGUUCUCUGGCCCUUCUGGAGAACGCAUACACAAACCCUAAAUCAUCCUCUAACUUGGCCGUCGGAGCGUUCUUCCGGGAGCCCCUCCCGGAAAGCGGCUGACGGCCCUCGUUCUCUGUGAUCUUGCAGCGGUGACUAGGCAACCAGGAAGAAUUCAACCGAAGCAGAAGCAAGGUCUUACGGGGGACAAGGUUCCAUAAUUUGGCGCCAUCCGUUUGUGAGACGAAGAACACAAGCAAAAAGCACGAAAACAAGCAACAAUGGCGUCCAACAGUAGCGAGGAACAACCAACUAGUCCCAUACGUCCCAUGAUGACGUUGGACGAAACACCACCGCCUGCAACGACCAGCAGGGCCGUUUUGGGCGAAGGAAGUUCUACAACAGCCGCCGGAAACGUUUCACAACCGUCAUUUCCUCAGCAAGAAACAGCUCUGGUGGAGCUACUCCCGUCUACACAACUUUAGACGCCACCGUUCUUCGCGUCGUCGCUGCAACAGACACGAGCAAUCCACUCGACAACACCCCCGUCGAGUCACAUUUUCAACAUUCCGCCGCCGUUUGCAACACCUUCGCCAUUUUAGAUGACGGGUGGACAGAGUUCCACAACCCUAUUACCACCGUUGGCGCAAACCAUGAUGAGCCACUCACCACCCAUUUACCCAACGGCCGGUACAUGGACCGAACCGACUAUACCUGCCAACAACAACCUGCAACAGCCGGUAAUGAUCAACUCCGCUACAUCCAUACACCCUUUCUCCACUAGUUAUCCCUUCCAGUUACCAUUCCAGCCAUACCCCUUUUAUGGACCAAGUCCGGGCUACCUUACGCCACCACCGCAUGGUAUGAACUCCCAAUACCAGCUGGGGAUGUCGACUAUCCCAGGCCAGGAUGGUUUUUCCCAAAUCAUAACGUCUCCGUUCGUCAAAGAGCUAUUGGAUUAUGAGAUACCCAAUACCGCAAAACUCCCGACACUCAAGACGUAUAAUGGAACCACCGACCCGGACAGUCACAUCCACACAUAUGAAUGGACGAUGACAUCGCUAAAGCUUUACGAGAAGUUCUGGUGCACAUACUUCCCAACGACACUCGAGGGCAACGCCGACACAUGGUUCAAAACGCUAUAGCCAGGCAGUAUUUCAAACUUUGCCCGGCUCAAGUAUCUUUUCCUCACCAACUUCAUGCAGUUACGCAAAUACAAGGGGGACUCUCAUUCCAUUAUUGGCUGUAAACAAAGAGAGGGGGAAACUGUGAGAGAAUACUUUACAAGAUUCACAAAUGCCACGUUGGAUGUACCAGGGCUUAACGAUGGCCUUAUAACCGGAGCCUUCACGUGAGGACUCCUGCCAGGCCCUUUGUUGCAAAAACUCAUGGGAAAGAAGCCCUUAACACGAGUCGGGUUGAAAGAAAGGGUAGAGCGAUAUCUACGGUAGGAGGAUGGUGAAGCAGCUAAGCAAGCCUACUUGAAUGCCAUGACGACCAGGCAUCACCACCCGAGUCAUACGGACUUCCGAGGGGGAGGAAGAUACUAUGGCCAGGCAAGAAGACCGCUGGUGCGUUUUCCACCAUUUGUUAAAGACGACAGACGGGGUCGUCACCCAGAAGUGUACGCGGUGUCUGAGAAACAGCAACCGACCAAGUCACCCAAGAGUUGGUACUGUGAAUACCACAAAAGUAAGACGCAUGAUACGGUUAACUGUUCGGUACUAAAGAAGGAGAUGGAGGAGAAACAACUCAAAGGAGAUCCGAUGGAGGUGGCGCGAAGCCUGCAUGCCAAGUUUGAUGCUGAGAAUGCCAAGGGCCCACCCCGCGAAGGGGUUCAGCCCUAAGAGAUAUUCAUGAUACGCAACAAAAGAAGUAGGGAGGAACAACGGGGAGGGCAAACGACCGUUAAACCUUCAGCACGCGCACUCAUGUUCUCCAUUUAGGAUCCCCGGCUGGAUGGUUGGAGAGGUGACAACCCGCUGAUAAUACAAGCAUCUAUCAGAGACGUGACUAUCCAUAGGGUCUAUGUCGACACCUGGAGUUCAGCAAACAUCAUUUAUGAGCAUUGUUUUCGACUCCUCCCAGAUCGCUGGAAAGACAACUUGCGACCUACGAUUGGUAGACUGGUGGGAUUCACCGGCCAUAGCCUGUGGCCGCUGGGCACAAUCCAUCUUCCCCUGACAAUCACUAGCCAUGACAAGCAGCGAAAGAAAACUGCCCUGAUAGACUUUGUGGUCAUCCGACAUUCAGCAGAGCACAAUAUCAUCCUAGGAAGGACAACCCUCUUGAAGCUAGGGGCAGUACCAUCAACCAUGAAUGGGAUCAUGAAAUUCGACACACCGAAAGGCGAGGCCAUGAUACUGGCCACUCCACCUAAAGAAUUGCAAUGCUAUACAGUCAUGAAGCUAGCAAAAAUAACCAAAGGGUCCAAAAGACCCAGGGGAAGUCCCAUAAAGGGGAAGGAAGUAAUCAAUGAAAGACACCCUGAUCAGCCGAUCAGCGUUGGAUGUGACCUCCCAGAUCACAUGAGAAGAUCGCUGGUCGACUUGCUCAAACGCUACAAACAUGUUUUCGCAUGGACUCCUACAGACAUGGUGGGAGUAGAAAGGAAGGUCAUUGAACACAAACUGAUGAUCAGGCCAGGAGUAAAAGAAGUUAAGCAGAAGAAGAGGGUCCAGGGGGAGACCGUAAUAAGGCGAUUAAUGCAGAAGUAACUAAGCUGACGGAGGCCGCGAUAUUAAGGGAGGCAAUAUUCCCAACGUGGAUUGCAAACCUAGUUAUGGUUCGCAAAUAGGAUGGAUCGUGACAUAUGUGCAUAGACUUCUCCGAUCUAAACAAGGCGUGCCCUAAGGACUGCUACCCCCUCCCGGAGAUCGAUCAGAAAGUAGAAUCGCUACAGGGAUUUAAAUUGAAAUGCUUUUUGGACGCAUAUAAGGGGUAUCACCAGAUUUUGAUGAGCAAGGAAGACGAAGAGAAAACAGCCUUCUAUACAGAUCAUGGAACUUUCUGCUACACUAAGAUGCCCUUCGGAUUAAAGAACGCAGGGGCAACAUAUCAACGUCUGGUUGACUCGAUAUUUGCUAAGCAAAUUGGAAGGAACAUCGAAGCGUACGUGGAUGAUAUGGUAAUUAAAAGCCCGAAUGAGGAAAAGAUGUUGCAAGACAUUGAGGAAACUUUCCAAACAUUAGAAGCGGUCAGGAUGAAGCUAAACCCAGCCAAGUGCACGUUUGGAGUGGAAGAGGGCAAUUCCUGGGAUACUAUGUCACCAGACAAGGCUUCCAGCCCAGCUCGACCAAGGUUGACGAGUUCAUCGAGACGCCAACCCUAAACUCCCUCCGAGAUGCACAGGGUCUGAACGGGAAGCUUACAGCUCUAAGCAGGUUCAUUUCGAAAUCCGCUGACAUGGCCAUGCCAUUGUUCCACACCUUAAAGGGGUGCAUUGAGAAGAGCAACUUCCAGUGGACGAAUGAGACAGAAAAGGCGCUCUAGAAAAUCAAGGAAGCGCUACACAAGCUGCCAACUCUUGCCACCCCUAUCCCUGGAGAAACGUUACAAGUGUAUCUUUCAAUGUUAGGCGAAGCGAUAUCCUCGGUAUUGGCUGUGGAAAGGGAGGGGGAACAGAGGCCGAUAUACUUUGUUAGUAGAGCACUGCAAGGACCAGAACUCAACUAUCCCACGUUGGAAAAUUUGGUAUUAGCACUCAUCUACGCCGCGAGACGACUAAGGCGAUACUUCUAGGCACACCAAAUCGAGGUACUCACGAGCUACCCUAUUAAAAAGAUCUUGCUCAAGCCAGAGAUGUCAGGCCGGCUGGCAAAGUGGGCAAUUGAGUUGGGGGAACAUGACAUAAACUACCGCCUAAGAACGAGCAUCAAAGGGUAGGCGCUGGCUGACUUCUUACUGGAGAUUCCAGAUGGAGGGAACCCGGCGAAAGAGAAGGUGUGGGUAGUUGAAGAAGCCUCGGCUGACCAUGGUUCAUGGACCCUGUAUACAGAUGGAGCAUCCAACAGGGAAGGCUUGGGGGUGAGGCUGAUCCUGACUAGCCUAGAAGGAGAGGAGGUAACCUAUGCCCUCCGCUUCGACUUCCAUACAUCAAACAACGAAGUGGAGUACGAAGCACUUCUUGCAGGAUUACGGUUAGCCAAGCAGAUGGGUGCGAAAUCCGUAACAGCCUGAACCGACUCGAGGUUAGCAGCAAACCAAGUCAAUGGAAGUUUCGAGGUAAGAGAUCAAAGAAUGGGAAAAUAUGUAAAGAUGGUGAAACAGCUAGUAGGAUCAUUCGACCGGUUUACAAUCAAGCAGAUAACCAGAAGCAAAAACAAGAGGGAAGACACUUUGAGUAAGCUGGCGUCCACAUGCUUUGACCACGUAUCAAAGAAAGUUUUAGUAGAGGUACUUCAAGAAAGGAGUAUAUAUGAGCAACAAGUGAACACCCUAACCGCUGCUAGACCCACAUGGAUGACACCGUACCGGGAAUACCUCCAAAGAGGAGUGUUGUCGGACGAUCAUGAUGAAGCCAGGAAAAUACGUAUAAAGGCGCCCUCAUACGCAAUGGUGAAUGGAGAAUUGUACAAGAAAGGGUUCAUGUCUGUAAUGCCCGGGUUUCAGGGCUAAACAUAUUUGUCAAUGUAAUAGUCUAGGUCAACUAUUGUAACUCUUUUUGAAGUAAUAAAGAUGAAAUAUUUGAGUAUUAUGUGAAUUAUGUGUAUUCAUGUGCUUAUAAUUUAAUUAUAAAUGUAUAAUUAAUAAAGAAUAAAAAUAAACGUCAAAAUUAAAGUAUGAGAUAAGCCCGAUAUCUCUACAUAAAGUUGUAGAAUAUGUCUCAAGGUUUCCGUACAUAUAAAGAACGCCGAAAUCCGAGUUACAACGAAUAAGUUAUGGCCCGUCGAAGUUUUACGGGAAAACCGGCACGACAUCGGGAAGCGUAAAUAGUGAAUUUACGAUAGAGCGAGUUUUAGCCUUAACGAUAUAAAUGAAAAUCGUAGAGUAUGUUAAACUAAGAACAUCGAUAAAAAGAACUCCCAAAUCUGACUUCGUAUGAAGAAGUUAUGAUUUUUCGAAGUUUCGGAUUAGCGGUGUACAGCCCGAAAUUCGAAUUUUAGUUCGAGCGGUUUUUGGCUUACGCGACCUAAAUGAGAGUUAAAGAUCUCAUUAAUAGGAACUCAACAGUAAAAAUACAGACGAAAACGGAGUCCGUAUGAAGGAGUUACGAAUUCUUCGCGGUCAUUUAGCAGUCUAAUUUCCUCCUACUGUUAAAUUUAAGAUCGGUCAAGAAUUAGCCGACGGAGUCUAAAUGAAAGUUGUAGAUCUUGUUUUUACCUACGAGUGGAAAAAAAGAACGUCAAAAACGGAGCUCGUAUGCGAGAGUUANGAGUUAUGAUUUUUAUAAGUCGGGAGGAUGCUGUGCGAAAUUGGGUGAUGUGGCGUAAUCCUGGCCGUUGCUUCCUGCCCAAGGCUAGCCACCAGAUGGUGACACCUGGCCAUAAAACUUGACGAGUUUUGGUGAUUUCCAGCCUAUAAAAAGGGUGCCGGGGUAUCCUCAUUUCUCACACCUUCCAACUUCUCUUUCUCUCUCUAGAAUCUCUCUCUAAGCCUCCUUAAGCCCCCUAAAGUCUAGGAAAACCCCCUAGCACCCGAAGGAAGCCCCGAGGCUCCCGGAGUCCCGAGAAAAGGGGUCUUUCGACUCGGGAACGCUGCUCCAGCGAAGCCCGGUUUUCGAGAAAACCCGCUGUAAGUGAGCUACGCCUAACCUAUCUUUAGUUUAGCUUACGUUUUAAUAUAGUAAUGUUAUUAGGACCUUAUAAUAAGUACUUGGGCUAUUAAUAUGGGUUAUAUAAGUAUCGUUUAACGCUUAUAUAAUAAUAAUAAUAAUAAUAAUAAUAAUAAUAAUAAUAAUAGCUAGACUAUUAAUUAAUCGCGGUUAUCGUUAGACUAAACCUUAGUGGCAAUGAUACUAGGUUUUGCCAACGGAAAACUGUGUUAAGGAUAACGAAGUGUUGUCCAAGCGCCGAGUCACCACCUACUCAGGUGAGUGCAUAGUUACUUUCAGCUUACACAUAGAUAUGAAGUAUUUUAUAUAAAUUACGUGCUAUGUGUGCAUAUUAUCUGAAUACUUGCUAUCUAUGCUGGAUGAACAUUGUUAUACAUGUUUUCAAUGAUUUAAACUGUAUAUGUAUUUUAUAUCUACAAAAUGUGUUGGGUAAAACAUGGGUAGAUGUAAUAGUUGUUGUGUGACGAAAUAAAAUAAUGAGAGGCCUCGUUAUAGAUGUUAUUGAUGAAUCAGUCAUCUAGCGGAGUAUAGAUGACGACCACGGACUAUUCUAGACAGUCCAGUGGAACACUAGCAGGCUCGCAACCUGUAGGUGUGUAUUCGAACUGUGUGUUUAUUUGAACUGUGUGCUCACCAGAUGUACUCCAUCCCCCACAUGGUUGCCUCAAGGACAUUUAUUGCUGAGGAAUCCCCUUAGAAGUAGUAUCUAUCCCGAUGAUAAUCCUUAGGGUAGGUCCCUUAUGAUAGAUGCUUAGGGACGUAAUCUGAGGAUAACAGGAACGGGUAAUUGGGUUUGUUUAUUUAAUGAAGUUAAUAAACUUAUUUAUUGUGGGUUGAAAACCCUAUGUGCUCACCAGGCUCCCAAGCCUGACCCACUCAGUUUCUUGUAUUACAGGUAGUGGCGCAUGAGCAUAGAUGUGAUGUCUNUGGACGAGGGAUUUCGGAUAUAGGCCUGUAGAUAUGAAAUAAUGUAGUAAGGCUUAUAUUGUAUUGUUUAUGCUUUUGAUCUGUACGAACAUGACAUCCCAAGUCUUUUAAUGAAAUACAUUUCUAUGGAAAUGCUUUUGAUAAAUCUUUAUCAUAUUUUGUUUUGGGACAAAUCCGCAACACUUUUAUUUAAAAUGUUACUCUGAUUUUUAAACAAAGCAUAAACAAACCGGUCUUUUCUGGCCGUGAUUUUGGGGAUGUCACAAUGUCCAUGGUUAAAAUGUGUGGAUCAGGCCAAGGGGCCGGGUAGAGAUAUUGCAGGAGGCACACUCAGGACAGGGGGUGCACACGAGGGGGCGAGAGCCUUGACGGGCAAGGUGUUACGAAUAGGGAUAUACUGGCCAACGAUACAGCAGGAUGCGAUAGAAGUAACCAGGAAAUGUGGGGAAUGUCAGUCUUAUGCCCCAGUCCAGGCGAACCCCUCGGCCCCGCUAAGCAACAUAUCCAGCCCAUGGCCUAUCUACCAGUGGGGCAUAGAUAUAGUGGGUCCAUUCCCAGAAGCACCAGGGAAACUAAAGUACAUGGUGGUAGCUGUGGACUACUUCACAAAGUGGAUUGAAGCUGAGCCUCUGGCGUGCAUAUCUGGGAGGCACAUGAUAAAAUUCAUAUGGAAAAACAUCAUGACAAGAUUCGGAACACCUAAGGUUCUCAUCAGUGAUUAUGGCUUGCAGUUUGCUGAGAACCCGUUCAGAGAUUGGUGCACCGCCAAAGGGAUAAGCCAACGCUUCACAUCGGUGGCACAUCCUCAAGCGAACGGCCAAACGGAGGUGUCCAACCGAACCAUUGUUAAUGGGAUUAAGAAGAGGUUGGGCAAAGCAAAAAGGAAUUAGGCAGAAGAGAUACCAAUGGUGUUAUGGUCAUACAGAACUACACCACGGAGAAGCACAAAGGAAACCCCUUUCAGCUUGACGUAUGGAACUGAAGCCAUGCUUCCCAUGGAGGUAGCAGUGAACACACUGAGGGGGGCCAACAAAGAUGAGGAAAGCAAAGUAAAAGACCUGAGGAUAAACCUAGAUAUCCUAGAGGAGAAGCGUGAAGAAUCGAGUGUACGCCAAGCAGCGUAUAAACAUGCAACAGAAAGAUAUUACAACCAAAGGGUAAAGGAGAAGGCCUUCAAAGUCGGCGAAUAUGUUUUGAGGAAAAACGAAGCAAGCCGAGCCCAACCUCAAGGAAAGUUGGGCCCAACAUGGGAAGGCCCAUAUAGAGUCACGAAGGCAAAUAGGAGCGGUGCAUACGUGUUGGAGACAAUGGAAGGAAGGCCCAUUCCAAGAACAUGGAAUACUAGAAACUUAAAGAAAUAUUUCUUCUAAGGCAAGGGAAGAAAAGGAGGCCGACCAGUUGUUUGACGUCUCAUUGAGCGUAUCGUACCCCGAAUACUUAGAGUAUAUUUGUUCAUGCUAAGAGACAUGAGUUCAGUACUUAGUGUAUUUAAAAUUCCAUGCUAAGAGACAUGAGUUCAAUACUUAGUGUAUAUAUAAUUCCAUGCUAAGAGACAUGAGUCCAAUACUUAGUGUAUUUAAAAAUACCAUGCUAAGCGUCAUGAGUUCAACACUUAGUGUAUUCAAAAAAACCGCGGUGAAUGAAAUGACAAUGCAAUUGCAGAUCUUCAUAUACUUAGUGUAUUAGUCUAAUGAACGAAUGAUCACAUGCGAAACCCAAUCAUGGAUGCUAAGUGCGUCCAAUAUAGACACUUAUUGUGCCAAUAGUAGCAAGGGUAAAACAAAGUGCCCGGCACAUCAAGGCGCUGUGUAUCCUGAAUAAUACACAGUAAACGAGUAAGCCAAAAAAACAAAACAAAACGAGCAGGCAAUUGAUAAUGGCUAAAACAGGCCAAACGUACAUCCAAGAAAGCAAAAUAUUGUUUUAGAAGUUCAAACAUUACACGGCAAAACAUCAAAAACUAAACCAACAGAAAAAAGAAACCUUACGACUCCAGACCAUCUGCACGAACAUCCUUCUCAUUCGCUACAGCCUCCACCCCAACACUCUUUCCAGCAUUUUCUCCAAUCGCCCUACCAUCGCCUUCUCCAUCACCCACAACCACUUCACUAACGUUACCAUCNUGCUCACCACCACCACCAGACCCAUGAUCCUUACCAUCACCUUCCAUGUCAGCGCCCGUCACCAACACCAUCUCAUGACCCACAAUACUCUCAGGCGUACCCUCUGAACCACCAAAGGAGCAUAACUCCCGCAAACCUUCAAUACCCACCUCCCCCAAACCUUACAGACUCGCAUGAUCCAUACUAGCGAAGGACAAAAGAGCAUCAUUUACACUAACCACGGGACUAACAGACGAUGCACCAACAACCACCCCCCCUUUCCGCUCCCACCGCCACCUAAAGUCUUCUGAACAGACUCAACCCCAGCCAUGUACGCAGCAUGGCGGAUAAGAAUGAUGGCGUUGGUAAAAUUAGGAUGCUCUAUAAGUUUAUCAACAAUACGAACAACGCCAACUUGCAACAACCAAUCCAAGUCUCGCCGAAUAGUAUCCACAUCUGACUGUAGUGACGAUACAAGCUUGUUGCGAUCGACAACAUCACACUCAAGACUUUCAACCUAGAUCAUUAAGCCUUCAUUCAUUUGUGUGAGAGAAUCGAAUUUGAUUUCCAAUGCAACCCUAGCCUCGUCAAGAAUGUUUUUCUCGGAUGCUAGCAACUCACAUUUCUUCUCAGAAGAGCGAAGAUCAUCACCAAGCUCAUUCAGACGACGCUCCAAACUAGCCACACGCGAUCCACAGGUGGCAUGUGUGGCCUCCACCUCGCCAAGGGUGUGGAUACACCGGGAACCUGCAACAAGAUAAAACAUGGCAUGUGCAGCAGCGUAAGCCAUAUUGUGAGCAAGGGCAGGAUUACCCAUCGCCUCCAUAUCCUCAACUGCAGCUGGAGGGAAGGUGUGGCGUGAGAAUUCCAGAGCAUUGGCACGAACAGACAGACGAGAAUCAUCACGAAGAUCCCAAGAUGGCACAAAGACUGUAGACCCAGAAUCACCAUCACCAGGGCCACCGUCAUUGGAAAUUGUAACCGGCCCACGGGGGCCAAAGCCUUUCGCCGGUGAAAGCUUGGAGGGAGCAAACGGAAUAGUUGGAGAAGGAAUGGAAGAAAAAUAUAAAAUAACGGGUUGUUCAGUUGCCCUGUCGACUCCCUCAGACUGUUGCGCGUCAUCAUCGGGAAUCACAACCACGCCAGUGGAUGUGGAACUCACUGGUGCGGAACUCAUCGAACACAGCAGGCGAGAAAAGUUCCGCCUGGUAUGCACUCUCUUGGUGGCAGGGAGCGCCAGUANNNNNNNNNNNNNNNNNNNNNNNNNNNNNNNNNNNNNNNNNNNNNNNNNNNNNNNNNNNNNNNNNNNNNNNNNNNNNNNNNNNNNNNNNNNNNNNNNNNNNNNNNNNNNNNNNNNNNNNNNNNNNNNNNNNNNNNNNNNNNNNNNNCAGAUCCUCCUUGGACGCCGAUGAGCUUACUGGAGGAACAGGAGGAGCAGUGGUCAGAGCAAGCCGGUCUGCCCGGCGAGGAGGGGGGAGGCUAUCGACCAGGUCUACCUCACGAAACUCCAGUUUGCCCCGAUAGCGCUUACGCAACACCUCAUCCAUAGAAAAAGAAGACUCAGUGCCUGGGGGAAAGCAGAAUGGAGAUAUUAAAAACAUGGAAGCAACGAGGAGAAACAAUAAAAGAAAAGGGGGAAGAUACUACACUUGUUGGAUAAGGUGUCUAAGUCCAUAACUUAUUUGGUAUAUACUUGACCCGACCGGCAUGGUCCAUUUGGGUUGCAUCUCAUCCAAACUAUUAUGGAUAAUUUUAUGAGAGUUAUACACAUAUGUUUAUUAAUAUAUUAUGAGUUAUAAUAUAUUAAUAUGAAGUUACGUUAUUUAAUUAGUUUUAGUCUUAAAUUAAUUAUGGAUUAAUUUAGAGAUUAAAAGGAAUACUAAUUAAAUUAUGGGCUAUUUGUUUUAUAUAGUGUGGGCUAAUACUCAUUUGUUAAUGGGCUAGGCUUAUGUGGAAGUCCAUGGAUGAUCCAUGGAGCUUUUAACCCAUGGAUCCUUGGAAUAGGAAAAGACAUGGGUUAUUAGGGUUUCACCCUAACCAUGCAUACUAUAUAAGCAUGCUUAUGGAGCAUGAAAGAGAGCCUAAGAUAGCCUAAGAGAAAGCUAGUGUUCUAGUGUGUGUGUGCAUGUGUGUGGCCGAAAAUACAAGAGUGUGUAUACUCUCUCAAAGUUUUCCAAGAGUUUGUGGUGUUUGUGAUUCCAUUUGAGGCAUUCACACUAUUGGUGCUUGGCCCUCAAACUCCUAAGAACCCAACACAACAAAGGUAUGUAAUCUCUUCUAACUCUUUUAUGUUGAAAUGUUCCCCAUGCCAUGUUAGAUAGGUUAUAAACCUUGGAAAAUUAUUAUUUUGCAUGUAUUUAGACAAACAUAGAUCCAAGGUUUAUUAGGGUUGCAUGCACACUUAGGAAGUGUUAGAUUGCUCAAAACCCAACAACACUGACCAUCAAUGACGGAGAAGAACACCGCCAUUUUGCCACGCCGCCUCCAAGAAGGACUCAUCCCCACACUAGAAAGAAGCGCCUUAGAGUAAUCUUCGGCGGAUACCUGCACACUCUUCAGAUAAUCGGCAACACCCUGGUUGUGGGGGAAAAGCUUAGGAAUGGUAUCAGCGAAUGCAUUGGCACGAUAGCGUCCACUUCCAACUAGCUCCUAGUUCACCCAUAACCACUUGUACUGCCAGUUCUUGGGGGUACGCCCAUCGGGAACUAAGGCGUGUCCCCCUCGUCGGACUGAGAAGGUACAUUUAACUCCGGUGAUGCAGAAUCGAAAGAAGAACUUGAAGACAAAGUAGUCGGGAAGGUACCCGUUUGCCCUACAGAUCAUCUCGAAGGCAACCACUUUGUUGACAACAUUAGGGGUCAACAUCUGAAGAUUACAACCAUCCUUCUGAAGAACUUCCUCCUGAAAGUCCGUCAUGGGAAAUCGUAUACCGGCAUCCAUGGUUUUCAAGAAAACUCCAAUUUUUCCAGGAGGAGGGGUAGAGAUGCUAGAGCCAGGGGAAGGAAAUUCCACACCUUCUAAGGAGGAUAAGCCAUACGUGGCCUCCAAUUGUCGAUACUCGGCAGCAGAAGGGACGAUUUCGGGAAGGUUAGCCAUGAGAGGGAAAGAAGAAUGAGCACAAAGAGAAAAGGAAGAACAGGUGAAGCGAAAGAAACUGUGCAGAUACCCUCUUAAAGAAGGGGAAGAGGUGGGACAUUUAAAUGUCUGACGUAAUGAUGUAACUGCCAGCAGUCAUGCGCAGUCACGUUGCUAUUAAAAACGGAGUGGCGGGUAAAGGAAAACGAACACGCGUCAAUCAAUUAAGUCCAGAACGUCGUAACUAGCGCUGCAACGCUACGGCUACUGGACUGGGGGACUUGAUGGUGUGCCUAGGACAGCACAGCAGAGCCACGUCCAAGCCUAGAGCCGGGCACACCAGCCUGGCCCAGCCCAGCAGGCUCAGCACCCGCUGGCGCCCUCGGGAGCGGAAUCCCGAGGCGGAAGGCUCGCGCCCGCCAAGUGACACUCCUUGCUCCAAGACAAAAGGUACGGUCAGGAGACAAACAGUGGGAUCAGAGCAUUACCGUCAGAGCCAAUGAGAGCACUCUAGCGGUUGAGGGCGCACGACCCUCCAAUCAGCGCCUCUGAUCCUGUCUCCCCAAAAAGCGAUCAUGUCUGGUAUGGACCAGGCAGGAGCGCUAGGUAUAAAAGGAUGCAUUCUCAUAUUAGUGAGGUAAGUUCUAUGGCCCUUCUGGAGAACGCAUACACAAACCCUAAAUCAUCCUAUAACUUGACCGUCAGAGCGUUCUUCCGGGAGCCCCUCCCGGAAAGCGGCUGACGGCCCUCGUUCUCUGUGAUCUUGCAACGGUGACUAGGCAACCAAGAAGAAUUCAACCGAAGCAGAAGCAAGGUCUUACGGGGAACAAGGUUCCAUCAGGUUGAUUGAAAGAAAAAAAAUAAGAUUGAGUAACAUUAAAUAUUUAUAAUAUGCUAUUUUCUAAUAAGAUUUAACUGAAAUAAGAAGUAAAUAGAUAUUAUGUAUUUAUCUAGUAAUUACGGGUAAUUCCACAACUCAAUAUCACUACAACCACAAACAUAAGAUUAUAAAUUGUCAAUCUUAUGUGUGCUACGUAUUGAACCAAUGAUAAACGUUAAAAGUCCAACUAUUGACCAACCUAACAAAACCUUUUGUGUUGUUAUUCCGAUUUAUCUAUACAUAAUGGAAAUUAGCAUAAAAUUGAUUAUUAUAAACAUAUUUAAAGUUUCAAAUAAGAAGCCCAAGAAAUAGAGAGAAAAAGAAGUUUUUGUUGUGUUUUUUCUUUUAAUUUAUAUGAAAGUGUUUUUUUUUUAAUCAAUUGUUUGUCUAGAUAGAGUAUGUUUGAACGAAAUGGUAGAAAAUGUUGAUUUUGAUGCAAGACCGACAAUCAAAAAUGUUAAUGACAUUUUUAAAAAAUAAUGUUCUUUUAUAGAAAGUUCAUGAAAAUUUACUAGAAUAAAAAUAAAUAAAUUGGAUGUGCAUCAUGGGGAAACGAUAAUAUAAUAUAUAACCGAUUAGUAUUCAAACCUUCCGUAGCUUCAUAUAAUUAAUGUCUACUCUAACAUUUCUCACAAACUUCUACUCUUCUACCGUCCAAAUUUUACGAAUGUUACCCACAAAUUAUAAUGUUUUUCUUGGGAUGUAUGACAACCAAGCAUUUUGUCUUGCUCAUUUUUCAGUCUUUUUCUACUUCACAACACUUUUUUCAUAUAUAUUAUACUAGGCAAAUGUCCAUGCGUUACGAUUGAAAAAUCUAUAUAGUCAAAUUAUUAAUAGACAUAUUGUAAAAAAUAACCGAUUUUUUGUCAUUAAUAAUCAAACAAUUGGGUUUACACUAAAAUAAAAAGAAAAUUGUAGAAAUUAUUGACGUUAUAUUUAAAAUUAUAAAGUUGAAAAUUUAUAAUUUUGAAAUAAUUCAACCAAGUAAAAAUAUUAAAUACUACAAAUUAAUAGGAUUAUGAUAGACUUAAAAGUUAUUGGAUUUUUCUUAAGAGGAGAGGCCCACAAUGAAUUUUGGGUAAAGCUAUUAAGAGAUUCGGCUUGUUGGGCUUUCGGCUAACUAGUGUCUGAGGUUGAAGCCCAUUUUGUUGAGAGUGGAUCUCUCAGGUUUCAACGCUGGCAGCCUUACAUAACGACGCACAAGACAAAAACAGAAAAUAAAUAGUGAUUUUUCCCGUUUAAUAAUUAUUGACUUAGAAAGUGCUGAUUGAAAAAGAUUUAUCUGGAAAAUAAAUUCUGACUGAGUAAAAAACUUUGUUGUUUGAAUGUACACUUGAUUGAAUGUACUGACUUGUGAAAAAUGACCAUUUUACCCUGCUGUUUUAUAUAGUGAUUAAUGAAGUUUCUGAAUAAAUUAUAAAAAUAUAUAGAUUGUCAUACAAAAUAUAAAUUACACACAAACUAUUUAAAAAUCCAAUAAAGUUUGUCAUACAAAAUGUAGAUUAAACAUAAAUCAUUUAAUAUCAAAAACAUAAAUAUUCAACUACUUUAUCAGGAUCAAGAUCAACAACAAAAGGUAUUUAUGAAUUCAACAACAAAAACGAUCUCUCUUUACAAAAGCUAUAAUGUUCUAAGAUCACGAUCAACAAGAAAAAAUAUAUAUGAAUUCACUAGCAAAUCAAAGCAAUCAAUGAGCAAGAUAACAAAUCAAUUAGCUUAACAAUCUCAUAAUUUUGCAUAACAUUUCUAUAUCAAAACAAAAAAUCUGUAUAACAGUUGUAUAUCAAAAAAAAAAGCAUCAUUGCUAUAUUCAAAAGAAAAUUCUGCAUACCAUUUGUAUAUCAAAAAAAAAUUCUGCAUAACAUUGCUAUAUCAAAAGAAAAUUCUGCAUAACAUUUGUAUAUCAAAAAAAAAAUUGCAUAACAUUUCUAUAUCAAAACAAAAUUCAGCAUAGCAUUUGUAUAUCAAAAAAAAAAACUAUGUAUAACAUUUCUAUAUCAAAACAAAAUUCUGCAUAACAUUUGUAUAUCAAAAAAAAAUCUGCACAACAUUUCUUUUUCAAAAAAAAAAAAAUUCUGCCCAACAGGUUGAUCUCUUUCAACUUCAGAUACAGCCACAAGCAGAUACAACAAGAAAAAUUGGAACUUCAAAUGGAGAUAAUCGGAACUUGAACAGCAACAAAUCAGAACUUCAGUAGGAAUAAAAUCGGAACUUGAACAGAAAAAUAUCGGAACUUGAACAACAAAAAUGGGUAAUUGAAGCAGCAAAAACGCAAUUGAUGUUGGUUUAAGGAGAAAAGUGACAGCCUCCUUCUGUUAGUCACGUCAACUAUGGACAAAAAGUAAACACUGAAACUUCACCAGCCAAACAAUUAUAAUACGAAAUUGAUAGAGAGAAGUAAGGGACAAAAAGAGC
rnacentral:lncRNA from 1 species